GGACCGGCGCGGUGCCCGCCGCCUGCCCCCGCCGCCCUGCCUGCGCGGGCGUGCGCGGCUCGGCCGCAGCGGAGCGCGGGGCUCCGGCGGGCGCUGCGCGGCCCCCCCCCCGCCCCGCCGGGCUGGAUAUGUGGAUGCUCACGUGAAGAUGGAUGUAGCGAUCGGGCUGCUGGGGCUGCUGACGGUUCUGCUGGAGGGCAGCUCCGGCCAAGGGGUGUACGCCCCCCCCACGGUGCGGAUCGUGCACUCGGGCCUGGCCUGCAACAUCGAGGAGGAGCGCUACUCCGAGCGGGUCUACACCAUCCGCGAGGGAGAGACCCUGGAGCUCACCUGCCUGGUCACCGGCCACCCCCGCCCACAGAUCAGGUGGACCAAAACAGCAGGAAGUGCCUCAGACAGAUUCCAAGAUUCCAGUGUCUUCAACGAAACCCUGAGGAUUUCCAACAUCCAGAGACACCAGGGAGGCCGCUACUACUGCAAGGCUGAGAACGGCCUGGGCUCCCCGGCCAUCAAAUCCAUCCGAGUGGAUGUGUACUAUUUGGAUGAUCCCAUAGUCACGGUCCACCAGAGCAUCGGGGAAGCCAAGGAGCAGUUUUAUUAUGAGAAGACCGUGUUCCUCAGGUGCGUGGCCAACUCCAACCCGCCCGUGCGCUACAGCUGGCGCCGCGGCCAGGAGGUGCUGCUGCAGGGCUCCGACAAGGGAGUGGAGAUCUACGAGCCCUUCUUUACCCAGGGAGAAACCAAGAUCCUGAAGCUGAAGAAUCUGCGACCUCAGGACUACGCCAACUACAGCUGCAUCGCCUCGGUGCGGAAUGUCUGCAGCAUCCCGGAUAAAAUGGUGUCCUUCCGCCUCUCCAACAAAACUGCAUCCCCUUCCAUCAAGCUCCUCGUGGACGACCCCAUCGUGGUGAACCCUGGAGAAGCCAUCACCUUGGUGUGUGUGACCACCGGGGGGGAGCCGGCGCCCAGCCUGACGUGGGUGAGGUCUGCGGGGGUCCUGCCCAACAAGACUGUCCUGAACGGGGGCACCCUGACCAUCCCCGCCAUCACCUCCGAGGAUUCCGGCACCUACAGUUGUAUCGCCAACAACAACGUCGGCAAUCCCGCGAAGAAGUCCACCAACAUCAUCGUAAGAGCCUUAAAAAAAGGACGCUUUUGGAUCACCCCCGACCCGUACCACAAGGACGACAACAUCCAGAUCGGGCGGGAGGUGAAGAUCUCGUGCCAGGUGGAAGCCAUCCCCUCGGAGGAGCUCACCUUCAGCUGGUUCAAGAACGGGCGGCCCCUGCGCAGCUCGGAGAGGAUGGUGAUCACCCAGACCGACCCCGACGUGUCCCCCGGCACCACCAACCUGGACAUCAUCGACCUCAAGUUCACGGAUUUCGGGACCUACACCUGCGUGGCGUCCCUCAAGGGAGGCGGCAUCUCGGACAUCAGCAUCGACGUCAACAUCUCCAGCAGCACGGUGCCCCCCAACCUGACGGUGCCUCAGGAGAAGUCCCCGCUGGUGACGCGGGAAGGGGACACCAUCGAGCUGCAGUGCCAGGUGACAGGGAAGCCCAAGCCCAUCAUCCUGUGGUCACGGGCGGACAAGGAGGUGGCCAUGCCCGACGGGGCCCUGCAGACCGAGAGCUACGACGGGAUCCUGCGGAUCGUCAACGUUUCCCGGGAAAUGACCGGGACCUACCGCUGCCAGACCAGCCAGUACAACGGGUUUAAUGUCAAACCCAGAGAGGCCUUGGUGCAGCUCAUCGUGCAGUACCCCCCGGCGGUGGAGCCGGCGUUCCUGGAGCUGCGGCAGGGCCAGGGCCGCGGCGUCACCAUGAGCUGCCGCGUGCUGCGCGCGUACCCCACGCGGGUGCUGAGCUACGAGUGGCGCCUGGGCGGGCGCGUGCUGCGCACGGGGCAGUUCGACCUGCAGGACUCCACCGAGUACACCGUCAGCAGCCUGUCCCGUGACUCCUACGGCGUCUACAACUGCAACAUCAUCAACGAGGCGGGCGCCGGCCGCUGCAGCUUCCUCGUCACAGGGAAAGCCUACGCCCCGGAGUUCUACUACGACACGUACAACCCGCUGUGGCAGAACCGGCCGCGGGUCUACUCCUACAGCCUGCAGUGGACGCAGAUGAACCCCAGCGCCGUGGAUCGGAUCCUGGCCUAUCGCCUGGGCAUCCGCCAGGCCGGCCAGCAGCGGUGGUGGGAGCAGGAGAUCACGGUGAACGGGAACAUCCAGAAGGGGGAAUUGAUCACCUACAACCUGACGGAGCUCAUCAAGCCUGAGGCCUACGAGGUCCGCCUGACACCCAUCACCCGAUUUGGGGAGGGCGACUCCACCAUCCGGGUCAUCAAAUACAGCGCUCCGGUGAAUCCACAUCUCCGAGAGUUCCACUGUGGCUUUGAGGAUGGGAACAUUUGCCUUUUCACUCAAGAUGACACUGACAACUUUGACUGGACAAAACAAAGCACUGCCACGAGGGACACGAAAUACACCCCGAACACGGGGCCCAACGCCGACCGCACCGGCUCCAAGGAGGGUUUUUACAUGUACAUCGAGACGUCCCGGCCCAGGCUGGAGGGGGAGAAGGCCCGACUCGUCAGUCCCGUUUUCAGCGUCGCUCCCAAAAAUCCCUACGGAGCCACCAACACGGCCUAUUGCUUCAGCUUCUACUAUCACAUGAAGUUUGAACGUUUACCUGCGGCUCAAAGGCCAGACUGCCAUAGAAAACCCCCUGUGGUCCUCGAGUGGGAAUAAGGGACAGCACUGGAACCAAGCCCGGGUGAACAUCAACCCCCCCACCUCAUUCCAGCUCAUCUUUGAAGGGAUCCGUGGCCCUGGAAUCGAAGGGGACAUUGCUAUUGACGAUGUGUCCAUUGUGGAAGGAGAGUGUAUGAAAUCAGACCAACCGGCCAACAAUCUACGAUCAGGGGCUGUUGGGCCAUUAGCACAUAUACGACUUCUCCCACUCCUCAUCCUCAUGUCUGUCUUAAGUCAUCAGAGGUGACCUUACCCUGGCAGAGGCUACAAAAGAUUCACCAGGCACUGGCAUGAAGAAAGAGUCUUUGUAAAAUGGACAUUUCCAAACAAACUACCAAAGAUUCCUCCACUGACUGACUCGAAAGUUAAAUAAAUACGUAAAUAAAUAAUUUAAAAAUUAAAAAAAAAAAAAAAGCGGAUUAAGAAAGCACUGGGGACUUGAAAAGGCAUCACGGGAGUGGAACUCACUAAGAACCAAGCUUGAGACCGAGAUCUGGCCUAAGUAAGGAAGAGACCUUCAGGUGCUUUUGUGGUCACUGAUGAAUUCAGCAUCAUCUGGUUGAACUCUCGGCAAAGAGCUCUAGAAACCCUUGUCAAAGCACAAAGUCAUGGCUGGUUUUGUUUCAAAUGAAUCGUUUGCUUGUUACCAUGGAAACCGAAUGGCCUGCCAAAAAAAAAAAAAAAAAGAGGAAGGAGAGAGAGAGAGAGAGAGAGGAAAUACAAACACACAGAGAGAGAGAAACACCUCACUGUAAACAGGGUACGUGAAGAGCUGGCGUUCAUUUUCCCUUCCCGAAGGUUUUUAGCGUAGAGUUAAACAAAUGUCGGCCCUUUCUACUUCGGCUGUCACCUCCCCUCGAGGAUAACCCGGAAUCGGAGCUGUUUGCAGACGUUCCCGUUUCAUUCCUCACGGCUCUGCUUGGUGACUGUGUGCUGUCUCCUUUUGCAUGCAUUCCCACCCAGGAUGUGCCACCUGGGCUUACAUUUGUCACAGGCUUCACUGGGAGUUUGCUCGCGGCCGCUGGAAGAUCCCUCUCCCCUCCCCACCGGAGUCAUCAGCUCUACGGAAGUGAAGAAACCAAACCACCGUCUUUUAUAAAUUGCCAUGGAAACCAAGUGCCUUCAAUGAAACAAGCCUGAUUUCAGAAAAAAAUAAAACAAAAACAAAAAAACGAACAAAAUAUAUAUAUAUAUAUAUAUAUAUAAAUAUAUAUAUAUAAAAAUAAAAUUAAAAAAUUAUAAUAAAUGUAAUAACGAUGAUUUCAACGCGGAAGCUUUGCACCGCUGAAAACGUGGGUUGUGCAAAGCCUUUUCUAAACGAACUCUGGAGCCUGGGUGUGCAGGCAAGGAGAUGGAGCCGCUUCUGGAGAAGGAUGGAUGGACCCAAGCUGCUGUGGAAAGCCUUUGGGAUGAGAUCCGUGUCCAGACAGCCAUGGCCUUUCAGCUUCUUAUCCAUUCGAAACAGCUCCCGCUGGUGCUGCCGAUGGGAGCAGCACUUUUCGUUGUCGUUGUCGUCGUCGUUUCAGGUUCUCCAGUGGGUCAACCAGAGGAACAAAGGUGGUUCAGACACACACUUGGUGCAGAAGGUGGUGAAACACAGGAUGAUUUUCUUACUCUCCCCCUCCGUUGGGAUGGCUCCCGACAUCUGGAGCUCCGGACGCUCCGAGGGGGCUCUGCCUCUGCCCCGGAGCCAGACUCGGUGCAGAGGGCGAAAGAUUAUUUUGUUAUUGUAGCGAAAUUCAAAAAACAAACAAACAAAAAAGUUAAAAAAAAUAAAAAUAAUCCACUUUUACAAGGAAAAAAAAAAUAAAAGCUGUACAAAAUGGGUUCGAGCUACCCGAACACGUGCCGGUUUUCCACUGCAUUGUAAAGUUCCCUUCCAGUUGGUUAUGAAAUUUGAAGACCUUUUUCCUUAAAUUAGCUCAGCUUUUAACUUCAUUUAAAAAAAAAAAAAAAGGACUUUUGUCUAAAGAAGAGUAUUAUUAUUAUUAUAAUUAUAAUAAUUAUUAUUAUUAUUCUGUGUUCUCUCGACACCCUAGGAUUAAAAGCAAAACCUGAUAUGCAAACAAUUGGAGUACAAACGUGAAAACAAACAAAAGAUGAGUAUAAUAAUUGCAAAUAUGAGUAUAAAAAGCACAACGAGAUGCAGUAAAACAAUGACAAGGCUUGAUUUUUUUUAUUCUGUAGAGAAAUGUUUGUGCAAAUUCAGUAAUUCCACUGAAGAGAUAAUUUUCCAGCUCUGUUCAAUAAAGCCUCUUUCCAGGUAA